rnacentral:lncRNA from 1 species
CCUUCUUCAUGUCCUUUAAAUACACUAUUAUUGUGGUUUUUUCCUGUGCAUUGUGCAUUAUUCUGUUGCCAGAUGCUGUUGCUUCCCAUUUAAAAUUUUUAUGCUUAAUCAUUGCUUUCCCAGAGCUUAGCGUACCACCUGGUGUUGAAAGAGUGUGAACGAAGUUUUUUGGGGUUAAUGAAUAAAUAAAUGAAUGAAUACAAGAAACCCUUCCAGUAAGACCCAAGAGCGUCCCGUAUCUCGCGUUAGUUCCCUUCUCCGCGCAGCGCCUUCCUACGGCAGCUCCCUUGUACACGGCAGAGAAAUCAUUACCAAGAAAGUCCCACAUGCCGUGGCCUCCGGCUGCGUUCCUGACCUCAGCUUGCUGCCUGCACACUGCCCCAGUGCGGGUCCCCAGGGAUCAGGAACCUGCUGUAGUAGGCAUUCUACUACUUGAUGAGUGGAUGAAGACACAGGAACUUAAAGGCCUUGUUGACCUGCUGUAAAAAUGUGCCCCAUGUGUUUGUGUUAAAGCCUCGGGAAGAGCUGGGCUUAAAAGAUGCCAAGAUCAGGUAAUGAACUGAGGCGAGAACAUACCUGAUACUGACCCUUCGUCCAUCCACUACCCAAGUGCUAUAGGUUCACAAAAUCUGUUUUUAUCUCUUGAAUAAGGCAAGUUCUUCCCCACUCCUUACCUUCCCUGCAUGGCUGGCCUUGGCCACUUCUGUAACUCAU